CCACGGGAGACAGCCCAGAGGGGUGGUGUGUUUUGAGAUAGUUCUCGCUGGUUCUUACUAGAAUAGUCGCGGUGUCUCAGUUGUCACACACGCCAGUUACGCGUAGAAAAAUGGCAACCUCCAGCUUUCCGUUCAUGGAAUCUAUAGCUCCGAAAGUGGAGAGUAACGGAGUGUCGACUGUAAUUGGAAGGGCUGUAAACUUUAUGGAGUUUCUAAUGCAAGGUUAUGAAGUUACUCCGAGUUACACGGACAUUGCCCAUCCUUGGUGUAAACACAUUCAACAUCGUGGGCCUUAUCAGCAAUUGCAGUCAUCAAUCUACUUAUAAUUGCUUUACAAUACAAUCCAUUUGGCAUGUAUUCUUUUCUGUUUCAUCGGAGCAUCUUCUCUGAACUGGGAUUACGGUUCUGACAGGUUGCCGGACAGGGAUCACCGCAUCCCCAAGUUGCGUUUGGUUGGCAACGACGUUGAGCAUCUGUCAAAAUCAUUGAAGUAUUAUAAUUUGCCUGAUUAUAGAGACUAGCAUUCAAUGGCAGUUUAAAUUCUUGGAAUUUGAUUGUUCAUAAAUUGUAAUUAUGAUGAAAAAUAAUAAUGAUGCCAACUGAGCAAUUUUUCUUUCUUA